GACAGAGGUGCCGAGCGUUAGGCGGAAUCACUGGGCUUAAAGCGUGUGUAGGCGGCCCGUUAAGUGCCUCGUGAAAUCCCCCGGCUCAACCGGGGAACUGCCGGGCAUACUGGCGGGCUUGGGCCACUCAGGGGCAGACGGAACAGGCGGUGGAGCGGUGAAAUGCGUAGAUAUCGGGAGGAACAUCAGUGGCGAAGGCGGCCAUCUGGGACAACACUGACGCUGAAGCACGAAAGCGUGGGGAGCAAACAGG
rnacentral:rRNA from 1 species